rnacentral:rRNA from 1 species
AGCAGUCGCCGCGGGAAUACAGAGGGUGCGAGCGUUAAUCGGAUUUACUGGGCGUAAAGCGUGCGUAGGCGGCUUUUUAAGUCGGAUGUGAAAUCCCUGAGCUUAACUUAGGAAUUGCAUUCGAUACUGGGAAGCUAGAGUAUGGGAGAGGAUGGUAGAAUUCCAGGUGUAGCGGUGAAAUGCGUAGAGAUCUGGAGGAAUACCGAUGGCGAAGGCAGCCAUCUGGCCUAAUACUGACGCUGAGGUACGAAAGCAUGGGGAGCAAACAGGAUUAGAGACCCCAGUAGUCCCUGUCUCUUAUAC